rnacentral:rRNA from 1 species
GAUGAACGCUGGCGGCGUGCCUAACACAUGCAAGUCGAGCGAACGGACGAGAAGCUUGCUUUUUUGAUGUUAGCGGCGGACGGGCGAGUAACACGUGGAUAACCUACUUAUAUGACUGGGAUAAUUUCGGGAAACCGGAGCUAAUACCGGAUAAUAUUUCGAACCGCAUGGUUCAAAAGUGAAAGACGGCCUUGCUGUCACUUAUAGAUGGAUCCGCGCUGCAUUAGCUAGUUGGUAAGGUAACGGCUUACCAAGGCAACGAUGCAUAGCCGAGCUGAGAGGGUGGUCGGCCACACUGGAACUGAGCCACGGUCCAGACUCCUACGGGAGGCAGCAGUAGGGAAUCUUCCGCAAUGGGCGAAAGCCUGACGGAGCAACGCCGCGUGAGUGAUGAAGGUCUUCGGAUCGUAAAACUCUGUUAUUGGGGAAGAACAUAUGUGUAAGUAACUGUGCACAUCUUGACGGUACCUAAUCAGAAAGCCACGGCUAACUACGUG